UACGUGCGGCAGCAGGAGGCCACGCUUCGGGAGCUCCUCGGGCUGCAGGUCCGGUGGUCGACCUAGCGGGUCCAGGCGCUGGAGCGGAUGCUGUAGCUCCUUACCCAGCUGGAGAAGCGGGUGGCGCGGCUGCGGCCGUGGUUGUUGCGGCUGCGGCCGUGGAGGGUGGCCAAGAGGGCGACCUAGGCGGCCGAGUGGUGGUAGGGGCUGGCGGUGUAGAAGCGGUGGCUCGACUUCCACGAGGCUCGCACGCAGCAGCUCCACUCGUUCGACGCCUUCGCGAUGUCAGAGCUGGGCGUCUACAACAGAGUAGUGCGCGGGCGGCAGCUGGGGGCCGAGAAGCGCGAGAUGCGGCUGUCACGGCCGGACGCCGUACCUGCCCGGCGCCCUGCUCCACCGCCCCUACCACUGGUCUCGCCCGAGCCUGCCCGGCACCCUGCUCCACCGCCCCUACCGACAGUUCCAGGUAACACGGAACUACCAGAGAUGUUUAACGACGAAAACUCCAUGAACUUGGAGUUCCCCUGUAUACAAUCGCUCGAGGGUCUUGUCUAACCUGUCGAUUCUACGGACCUAUGUGACCUGCACUCUAGGUGUUUCCACUUUCUAGAUGGAGGAUCUUAACAGUUCGACCUUUUCAGUUACGUAAAUGAGCGGCCCUUGCGGUUCAACGGCUCACCCCAUUGGUUCUACUUAAGUAACAACUAUGAAAACACGUCGUUAUAACCCUUCUCGCGACUCCGCUUGUAGUAAGUUCUCGAGUCACUUUACCAACUUCACGAACUCGAUUUCAAACUUCUUCCGGAAAGUCUCCUCAGCUCACCACACAGUAGACAGACCGGACUUCGUAUACUAGCAGCUCAAAAGUGUCGUAAUACACCUACCCGCAAGGCGUCGCACAAGUCUUAUUAUGAAACGUUCCCUGUCGUCGAGCUGCAGCUAGUCGUCGUCGUCCAGUAACAAGACGACCGUGAGUGAAGUGGACUUGCCGACCUGGUCUACUAUCACCUAUUGACCUAUAUGCGUCACGUCAUAUAACGAUAUUCCAGCGAUCGUGUACACUUAACAAGAGCAGUUCUCGUACGAACACUGUAGUAAUGAUAUACACUACGUCCCGUUUUCCUACAACAGUCUUCCGAACGUCGAUUCACAAGUUCAUGUUAGAGAUCGGUUCAAGGGAAACAACAACACAACAUAAAACUCCUUUCCACCAGCUCGUCGAGCACU
rnacentral:rRNA from 1 species